UACAGAGGUCCCAAGCGUUGUUCGGAUUCAUUGGGCGUAAAGGGUGCGUAGGCGGCGCGGUAAGUCGGGUGUGAAAUCUGGAGCUUAACUCCGAAACUGCAUUCGAUACUGCCGUGCUUGAGGACUGGAGAGGAGACUGGAAUUUACGGUGUAGCGGUGAAAUGCGUAGAUAUCGUAAGGAAGACCAGUGGCGAAGGCGGGUCUCUGGACAGUUCCUGACGCUGAGGCACGAAGGCCAGGGGAGCAAACGGG
rnacentral:rRNA from 1 species